rnacentral:rRNA from 1 species
UGACCCGGCGCAUCGGGACUGAGACACUGGCCGGACUCCUAGGGGAGGCUGCCGUAACGAAUAUUGGUCUGUGGGCGAAAGCCUGAACCAGCGACGCCGCGUGUGGGAGGAAGCCCUUCGGGGUGUAAACCACUGUCAGUGGAUUACCAAGCUAUGGAGGCUAAUACCCUCCUGCGUUGAGGCGUCCCAGAGGAAGUCACGGCUAACUUCGUGCCAGCAGCCGCGGUAAUACGAAGGUGGCGAGCGUCGUCCGGAAUCACUGGGCUUAAAGAGCACGUAGGGGGACUGUCAAGCGUCUUGUGAAAUCCCCGCGGCUCAAGCGGGGAAUUGCUUGGGCGAACUGAGUAUCUUGAGGCAAGUAUGGGCAGAUGGAACCUCUUGGUGGAGCGGUGGAAUGCGUAGAUAUCAUGAGGAACACCAAAGGCGAAGGCAAUCUGCUGGGCUUGUAACUGACGCUGAUGUGCUAAAGCACAGUGGAGCCAACGGGAUUAGAUACCCCGGUAGUCAUGGCCAUAGCCGAUGUCCACUAGAUCGAUGAACUUCUGACAGCCACACGGUCGAAACAAAAGCCGUAAGUGGACCACAUGGGGAGUACGGUCGCAAGGCUCAAACUCAAAGGAACUGACGGGGGCUCACACAACCGCUGGAGCAUCGGGCUUAAUUCGAUGCAACGCGAAGAACC